UCUGGAGGCGCCUCUGUUCUGUCGUGUGUGUGUGUGUUCUUCUUGCAAAAAAUGGAACUGGCAUGAGUUCAUCUUUAGUUACUGGAGGUUAGAGGCAAGGACUGUGCAAAGAGAGCUCCGCCUACUGUUCCUCUGGUUGCAUUGCUGCAGUCCCCUAGCUGCAUGCACUACAGGAGUGGGGGUUGGGGGGGAGAGAGAGAGUGUUUGUGUGUUUCAGAAAAGAGAGGAGAUUUUAAAACCUCGCUGCCCGUAUUCUUACUGAGCAAGGGUUAUGCUGUACAGGGCAUUCAUCUCCAAAAGCCGGAGUGGUUGUUAAUGGAGAACGACUUCCAUUGAAGCCCAGGGUAGGCGUGUUACAUGAAUCUGGCGCGGCCAGAAGCACAGGAAAUAACUCCCGCUGCGAGCGUGGUUGCAUAACUAUAGCGCAGGAGAUGCCUCUGUGGCAAGAACUGCUCCGAACUGAGGCGGAGCGAUUCUUGGAUAGACAGCUGUCACGUUUGCAUUGUUAGAGGACAAUGUAUACAUUCAUCUCAAAAGGCUUUUGUACAGAAACCUGCUGGGGUUGCGGGUAGGAGCCUAGAGUCUGUCCGACCAGAGGAUUCCGAGCUCCUGGAUCUGCAAAUUCUAUUAUUUCUUUUCUACCUAGAAAUCCAGCCUAUACAUGCUCUGGCCUGGGGAACUGAAUCCCAAGCGCUCCCAAGUUCCUGACGCAUCUCCCCAGGAAUCAGUCUAGCACUGUGCGCAAUGCGUUUGUCUACAUUCCCAGGUUUGUUGGACCUGAGAAUGAAGGUUGCUGCCCGUGCCACAUUGAGGAGUAAAACAGUUCCUGAGGAAGAAGAAAGUGGGGGAACCUUCCAAACAAUCUCAAACUGCUCUUCUGCCAUCCAUCUCUAGGAAGCUUCAGGAUUGCUAUUCUCGGGAUGAGUGCAUACACUAACCUGUUAACAGUGUUUUGCACACAUGUAACCAGUCUCUUGGCUAAGGAGCUCUGCCUCUCUGUGGAAUUACUAAAUGGUUAUUAUUACUUUGGAUGAUGUUUUGGCAAGAGAACCCUGCUUUUAGAUAAAGGGAAGAUUAAAUUCCUUGGCUGUUAUUAGCUGCCUUCUGUGGAUCUCAGUCACACAGAAGUACUGUGAACGUUGUAUUCAGACUGGCAGUAACGAUACAUGUACUUCAAGGAGAUAUUCAAUGGCCUGCUAUAAAAUGUACAUUUGUCUAUAGUGUUCCCCAGCACAGCUUCCCCAGCACAGAGGUGUUAAACCAGCAUGAUUCCUGUUAUGAAACAGAUACCAACUUUCUCCUCUACCAAACCAAUAAUAUAACUCUCACGAUGGAACCCUCUGUCUCAGGCCUCGGAGUAAGGUGAGAUGAGUGAGGUACUUAUCUCAAGCUCAGAAUUUAAGAGGGUAAAAAACACACUACUCAAGGUGUGGAAACUGAAAACCAGAGAAAGGAAAUGCUGUGGCCAGUUCUACACAAUAUAGUGAAAUAUUUCUCAUCUUGAUCUUCUCCUGGAUAAAGUGCUGAGGCUUAAUGAAAAGUGUAAUGUGUAGGGGUUCUAAAAUCCAGGGGCCUUGCUAAAUUUAGAUUUGGUUACUGCUUAUGUAAUUUUCCUUGUGUUUUCAAUUAUUUAUACAAAUAUAUUAUUUAUAUAUGUCUGGAACUUGUGCUUUUAGCACUCAAUAAACAGGAAUAAUUUAUAGGAUUAUGAAGUGCUUCCUGUCCUUACCUUUCAGAGUAUGUUCUUUUGCAUUGCUAAUUAAAUUGUUACAUUUCA